rnacentral:ncRNA from 1 species
CUACCUUUGCCAGCGUUUGGUGCCCGCAGCGAUUUCAAAAUUGCUUUUGUGGCUUAAUAGGGAAUUUCGUUAAAACCGGAAGCUGUCCCCGCAACUGUAAGUCUGCUAUAUUGACCUGAUCUUCAAAGCCACUGUGUAAAAACGGGAAGGCGCAGGAACAAAAGACGAGCCAGGAGACCUGCCAGAACGAUUAGAUCUGAA